rnacentral:rRNA from 1 species
UUGACCUCGGAUCAGGUAGGGAUACCCAGUUC